GACAGUGUGGCACAGUGGUAAUGAGCAGGGCUCAUAACCAAAAGGUUGCUGGCUCGAUUCCUGACUGGGGCA